GCGCUCGCCUGCGCUGUGGUGGGAGUUGGAGCGGAGGUAGAAGCUGAGGCUCCAGGGGACCCGACGACACUUGCUGGCUGCGUGACCUCGGUCACACCAGGGCCAUUUUGCUGACAAGACAACAGAGGCCAGGCGCGGUGGCUCACGCCUGUAAUCCCAGCACUUUGGGAAGCCGAGCAUAGGACAGAUGUGGUUGGAUGUUACUUUGGAGAUUCAGUUACAAAAAGACUGCAGCUUUGCUCACUCUGAGAGAAGGCAGCAUCCAUGUCUUGAGGACACUCAGGCAGCCUGGGACAGGCUUCGGGAGUGAGGAGCUGGGACCCCAGCCAACAGUCAUGCUGGACUUGCUCCAGGACACAUCACCUUGGGGUUUGCUCUUCCCAGGUCAGUAGGCAUCCAGUGCUGGGGCAGCUGCUUCAGGACAUCGCUGAGGACAAGUCUCCUCCCCACUCUGGUUCCACCGCCUGUAGCCUGUGGCUUUCAUCCUCAAGGGCUCCACGCGACCGCUGCACAUCCAGGCCCAGUUCCAAGGUGCAAGGCUACUUGUGCCAGCAAGAUAGCAGAAGCAGGACAGGAGCUGGCCGGAAGACACCUACCGUGGUGGGAAGACAUGUACCCGUGAAGAUCGAGAAAGAGUCCAUCCGGGUACAACGUAGCAGUUACGUCAGACUAGGACACUUCCUGUUUACAGGAGACUAUAAAACCUUUGCCCCGUCCUCACUUGGGGCUGAUGCCAUUUUAGGCCUCAGCCCACCUGCACCCAGGCGCUCAUUAAAACAGCAUGUUGCUCCA